rnacentral:lncRNA from 1 species
GGGGGGAGGGGGAGGGGCUUCGCAGCACCACUGGAAAACCAAAACGUUUUUACAUUUUGCUUUUUUUGAGGAUGAGUUAAAAAGGAAAGGGGUUGUUUACUGGCCGAUUUAGCAAAAAAAAGAAAUCAGAUCCAUUUAUAAAACAUUGAUGCAUUGAUGAAGCACUAUAGGGUUAAUCCCACCCCCCUUUGCACACUGCCUGAAUGAUACCACCAAUACAAGGCUAUUCAUGACUAAUGUCUAUCUGAAAACUAUAGCUUUAUUAUAAUGAACCACAGUUAAUCUGCUCUAUUCUAGUUUUUUUUAUAAUGUCACUCAAAACAUUAGCCCACAAAACCAAAGACCAAGUAUAAUAUGCUAACAUAUAUAUAUAUUAUGUAAAUUAUCUAUAUGUAAUAUUGGAUUGAAACUACAGGGUUAGCUAACCCACCAAAGACUUAACCACAGAAUGUUCUAGCAAUCUCCCGGUAAAGGACUUCUUUGAGAUCGUCAUAUAGCAUACUUAUGUUAGGAAAUAAAACAUUUGGCUCCAAAUACCUAGUAUUAUCUCCAAUGAUGGAGACAAGUUCUGAUAUGUUUCAGAUGAAUGUUGUUGACACAAAUCCAGGUCAAAAAAAAAAUGUCAAAAGCAGAAAAGACUGACUAUAUACAGGUAUUGAUCUUACCCAUGUCAAUGGAAUAAUAAUUAGUUUAAUAUCCAUGUUUAGCCAGCUUUACAAUUUAGUUGUGCAAUUCUUUUCCCUAGGAACUGAGAACAGAGGGCAGAGAAAUCCUGUAUAGACGGGGUCUACCUCUAGUUAGCCUGCUAUCUGCCUGGGUUUUUUUUUUUUCUCCCAGAAAACCCGGUUGGAAGCUCCCGGAAUCAGGAGGGAAUUAACAGGAAAUCCGGAACCCUCCGCCCAGGAUUUCUGGGAAAACCUAAGAAUUUUGAGAAAGCAACCCUAGUGUGAUUUCAUAACUUGAGAACAGACCAAUAGACAGCAGAUAGAGAGAGAGGCAUGAUAUUAGAGAGGAUGGCUGAAACAUCAUCAGAGAAUCCUCUGAGGGGAGAGGGAGGUUUAGGACUUAAGAGACCUUUCCACAGCCAGCUACUGGCAAGUAUGCAAGCACAACACAUGACCGACACACACAUGACCGACACACACACACACACACACACACACACACACACACACACACACACACACACACACACACACACACACACACACACACACACACACACACACACACACACACACACACCAUUGACUCUUUACAGUGUAAAGUAAAUACUACACGUAGCUCUCUCUCAACAUAUGUCGUGGUCUGUAAACUAUUUGAGCACAAUCUUGAAGCACAUUUUAUUUGCAAUAGAACUGGAGCUGCAGCUCAAUGUAGAAUGUUCUUCACAUAUUAGAAAACUCAGGAUGCCAUUUCUAAACAGAGGCUGAAGAACACUGACUACUACUACUAAUACUACAACUACUACUAAUACUACAACUACUACUAAUACUACAACUACUACUAAUACUACAAUUACUACUAUACUACCCACUCUUGCACACACACAGUAUAGUACUAUACUCUCUAUAGUAUAAUCUCGACAAACCACCCAUGUCCAAAUAAACACUAAAUAGGACAGUAGGCCACAACCCUGAGGAGCCAUUUCCCCCUGUUUCCUAACUUUGUAUUAUAGAAGCUUUCUGGUAAGACUAAAGUUAUUAUUCUACCCUGGCUUAACAUGGUUUAUCUUAACAUAGUAACCAUCAAUUCUAUUUUAAUGACAAUAUCAAUCAGCUGCAAUAACCUCUACUAGUCUCCACUUACCUCCACUAGUCUCCACUAAUCUCCACUAGUCUCCACUAAUCUCCACUAGUCUCCACUAACCUCCCCUAACCUCCACUAGGCUCCACUAGCCUCCACUAUACUCCACUAACCUUCAUUAGUCUCCACUAACCUCCACUAGUCUCCACUAACCUCCACUAGUCUCCACUAACCUCCACUAGUCUCCACUAGUCUCCACUAACCUCCACUAAACUCCACUAACCUCCACUAGUCUCCACUAGCCUCCACUAUACUCCACUAACCUUCAUUAGUCUCCACUAACCUCCACUAUUCUCCACUAACCUCCACUAGUCUCCACUAACCUCCACUAACCUCCACUAGUCUCCACUAACCUCCACUAGUCUCCACUAACCUCCACUAGUAUCCACUAACCUCCACUAACCUCCACUAGUCUCCACUAGUCUCCACUAGUCUCCAUUAGCCUUCACUAGUCUCCACUAACCUCACUAGUCUCCACUAACCUCCACUAGUCUCCACUAGCCUCCACUAAUCUCCACUAGUCUCCACUAACCUCCACUAGCAUCCACUAACCUCCACUAGUCUCCACUAACCUCCACUAGUCUCCACAAUCUCCACUAACCUCCACUAGCAUCCACUAGUCUCCACUAGUCUCCACUAACCUCCACUAGUCUCAACUAGUCUCCACUAACCUCCACUAGCCUCCACCAACCUCCACUAGUCUCCACUAGUCUCCACUAACCUCCACUAGUCUCCACUAGUCUCCACUAACCUCCACUAGUCUCCACUAGUCUCCACUAACCUCCACCAUCCUCUACUAGUCUCCACAAGUCUCCACUAGUCUCCACUAACCUCCACUAGUCUCCACUAGUCUCCACUAACCUCAACUAGUCUCCACUAGCCUCCACUAGCCUCCACUAACCUCCACUAGUCUCCACUAGUCUCCACUAACCUCCACUAGCCUCUACUAGUCUCCACUGGACUCUACUAGUCUUGUAGAGGCAACACCCUGGGCACCAGGCUAAGAAAGAAACAGACCAAGAAACAAACCAGGAAGAGUGUGUCUGUGCCCCAAAUGGCACCUUAUUCCCUAUAUAGUGUAUUACUUUUAGUGCACUGUGUAGGGAAUAGGGUGCAAUUUGGGACGCAGACCCCAGAGUCUGCUUCUUAACUGCUGUGCUGAUACUCCAUCUGUAUGGUACACCAAUGAUGAUUAUAUACACAUGCCUGUGUUGAGGACUCCACUCAACACAGUAGCAACCAUUCAUUAUAUUACACAUUCUGUAAAUAUAUACAACCUGCUACUUUUCAAGUCAACCCCAUACAUAAGAUCUUUAGAGUUCAAUCAUGUCAAACUCGUCUAUCCUUCUAUCAGCCAUCGAUCAAACAACCAAAGCAAAAAGUCCGGUAAGCAGCCCCUUGUCCCGUGGUACACAGGUUUUUUCGUGAUAUAAAAGUGAGCCAAAGGCUUGACGGACCAGAAAUGGACAUUUGAGACUUUUUUCUAUUUAUUGACAAAUCAAAACCAAAGAAACUUUUUCUGCACCUAACUGUUCUACAACAAAACUGUUCUAAAGAGGAAGAUAAUUAUAAAUGUGAGCAGCGAUGAUGAUGAUGAUGAAGAGGAAGAGGAGGAGGACAGACAUCAGGGGGAACGGAGAAGUAGCUUUGUUCUGUUCUGAUUGGUCAGGACAUUUUAAGGGGAAGCAGGAUGAGACUGAAAGGGUUUAAAACACGUGUGGGAACUAUGCCGCUGCGGCAGUUGUUUCCUAAGGCAGAAUGACGUGUCUCUGAAAGUUGGAAGGUUGUCUUUAACGUGUGCCUAUGCAGUUUUUCAAGAAAAAUGGAAAAGAACAACGAAAACCUCAUCAGCUACAAAACCAAAGAUUCAUAAUUAUUCCUACAGAAGUUUUCCCCCAAAGUUUAUUUUCCUGACAAUGUUGACCAUACAUACAGCCACAUAUGUAUACAUGCAUGCAUACCGUAUAGCUAGCGCUACCCAGUACAUGCAUGUAUAGUAGUACAUGUAUGUAUGAUGUUAAGGGUACGCUCCUUCUUCAACAUGACACUGUGUGAUUCAGUAGGUAUGAUGCAUCCUCUCCAUCACUCCCUUUCACUGGACACUGAUUACCUCGGUUCUCCGUCUGUCCAGUCCACUAGGGAUCAUCAUGCCCGGAGGAUUCAGCUGUAUCUGUCACUGCAGUCUGUAGAGAAACAUGAUUCUGUGAAACUAUGUGAAACUACAGUACACACCAAAGAUAACAAAGAGCUGUCUCUCUCUCUCUCUCUCUCUCUCUCUCUCUCUCAUCUAUUCACCUCACUCUCCAGUCCACUGCUGAAUCACAGCGUCCGUGUUAGUGAAGGAGGGUACAGUAGGGGACAGAGGGGUUGGGUGCUCAUAGGCACAUCCUGUAUGACUUUUUGGGGAAAACAAACUCUACUACUCCACACGUUCAAAAUAAGCAAAACCAAAAAUACAAAACAGACUAGUAGUUCAACCUGUUGAGAGAAACUGCUCAAAUAUCGGUCAAAUAGCUUUAUCCUUUUCUAGUUGUCUCUCUGUGAGGCUUCUAGUACAAAGAUGCUCCACCACGGCCCUAGCCCUCUUGGUCCUGGUCCUAGUCCAGGUCCUAGCCCUGGUCCUAGCCCUCUUGGUCCUGGUCCUAGCCCUCUUGGUCCUGGUCCUAGCCCUCUUGGUUCUGGUCCUAGCCCUGGUCUUGAGGCUCGGAGCCUGGUGGAGUCCACUUUCAUACUCAGUCUGGUCUUGAGGAACAUGUACCAAACAUGGGUAUGAAACUAAAAUCCAAAGAGGUUUUCAUUGCUUGUCUUUAGUAUUUAUGUUUGUUUGCCAAUGCCUAAUGUACAAUUAUGUUGUCUUUCCUAGGUUUAUGUAAUAUAUGAUUUUAUUUAUGUAAUUUAUAUUUGUUUUAAUUAAUUGAGAAUUCAUUUAAAAUUGCCAAAUCUCACUUGGAAUCCUUUACCUUGAUAAGUUUACCAAAGUUUACAUUGUUUGUCCUGUUUUCUUUUGAGGAUGCUGUCAAACUAUUUAUUUAUGAGGUGUGUUAGUACACAUGAUCGUUUUUUUACUUAAUUAUUUACUGUUAUUUAAUUAGAUGUAAUUUUUUUGGGGGGGGAUGAAUAUUUAUGGGUAUUUAAGAGAGUUAGAGAAUCAAAGAUGCAGUGCUUCUGUCCUACCCACGUUAAUUUAUUAUUAGUAAAAGCUUUACUUUAAAAAGCAACAAGAGGGUGUUCAAUUGUUUAGUGAAUAAUGACAGAACAAUGUUUUUUUUGUAAUGAAAUAAUGUCAGGGUAGUUGUAACGAUGAAUGUCACCAUUAUAUAAUUAUUAUAACACAUUUAGUUAAAUCUUUUUCCUAUACAGAAUAAUUUUUUUCUCUCCAUUAACUUUAUUCUUCCUGAUGAAAACAAUCUGUUGAUUUUUACAAGAUAAUGAAUGAGCACUGCAUUGUUUUUUUUUUUUCCCUUCUGUGAUUUAUUAUUAAUUCAUUUAUUUGUUUCAUUUGCGAGACCUUUGCAUUAUUCUGUUUACCAAGCAAUGAAUUUCAGACGGAUGUUUGUGCCACUGAUAGAGGAGGGUCGCACGUUGAAUGAGACAGACUCACCAAAGAUAACUGGAGCAUUUGAGAGGUUGGUCGUUGUUUCACUUGAUAACGGAAAACAGAGGAUUCCCUUAAACUAGCUGCUUCCAAGAAUGACUUGUGUAAAAAAAAAAAUCAAAAAAAAAAAAACUAUUUCUAUUUCUAUAGUGAGAACCAAAGAGGCUACCUCACUGACCUUUCCAUUUGUCAUUUUAAUCGUGUUGAUGAAACCAAAGAUACCAAAGAUUUGUUUUCUCUAGUACGGUCUGCGCUUGACCCAUGCUUUCAUUUUGAUAUUAUCUCUCUCUCUCUCUUUCUCCUUCCCUCUCCUUUCUCUUGUUCUCUCAAACACAUGUCUUCUCCUCCCCUAAAAUAAUAGGGACGAAGGGGGAAGGUGAGGGUUAGAGAAGGUGAGGGUGAGGGUGAGGGAAGGUGAGGGUGAGGGUUAGGGAAGGUGAGGGUUAGGGAAGGUGAGGGUUAGAGAAGGUGAGGGUUAGGGAAGGUGAGGGUGAGGGUUAGGGAAGGUGAGGGUUAGAGAAGGUGAGGGUGAGGGUGUGUGUCAGGGAUACAUGAUUAAUGCUGGCUUUCAGAAAGCCCUUCACCAGAUCACAGUACACAUUGUGUCCAAACCACACAUUGAGUUGUUGUGACAAACCCCAAAGUUAACGCUGUUUUUGCACUGAAGCAUUGAGACAACAAAGAGGCUGGAUAAAAUACAUCCACAUACUCUAUAUAAAGAAGGUAUGGCUGGAUAAAAUACAACCACAUACUCUAUAUAAAGAAGGUAUGGCUGGAUAAAAUACAACCACAUACUCUAUAUAAAGAAGGUAUGGCUGGAUAAAAUACAACCACAUACUCUAUAUAAAGAAGGUAUGGCUGGAUAAAAUACAACCACAUACUCUAUAUAAAGAAGGUAUAUAUAUAUAUAUAUAUAUACAUACUACUAUAAUUCCCAGACAUCUAGGGAUGAACGUUUAAUCAUUGUUUUUUUUAUUUUUAUUUUUUAUGUAACGGCCAAACAAGCAGUGCCGGAAAAAAGAAAAAAACGUUUUCAUAAAUCUACAAACACAGGAGAGUCAGAAUGAUUAGCCCAAAAACCACAAUGUCCAUCUUAUCACAGUGUCCAUUAUAGUAGCUGUGUUUUUACUAGUGCCUUUGCAAAGAAGGCUACAGUCCAUACAUUUGAAAAUGCUUCCCUCAAUCCCCCAAGUAUCACUCCUAAACAAUCAGACUUAAUGGAAAUAAAACAAUGGACAAUAUACUGUAAAUGGACUUCAAAAGCCACAAUCCUCCUCCCUGCCUACUGUUCCAGUGCAACGUUGUGAUUUUAACCAAACCAAACCAAAGAAACCAAAGGCACUGGUGAAAGGCCUCUCUGAAAGACACAUACCAAAAUGUAACCCUGAUGCAUUCUGGUUCAGACAAGAACAGAACAGCUGUAAUAAUUAUAAUAGCAGUAGUGUACUCCUUGGAACUAAUUCUGUGUUCGUAACCAAGUGGGAGGUGGGAAUAUGCCAGUUGUGAAGUAUUAAAUACCAGUAGGAUGAAUUCACGUGCUUUGAACUCGUUGAGAAACGCAGAUUGGCUAAAGGUCAACAAGCUACUUAACCAUGAACUAAAAGUACAGCUAUCAUGCUCGUUAACAAAUUAUAGUGUUCACAAACCAUAUGAAUAGAUAGCUUUUUAUAAAUAAUGUUUUGUUGUUGCAUUUAACUGCUGGAAAUGCUGUUAUAGAGGCCAUUCUCUUAGUAGGGAGCCACUGAGGCUCCUGAGUGGCGCAGCGGUCUAAGGCACUGCAUCUCAGUGCAAGAGGCAUCACUAAAGACACCCUGGUUUGAAUCCAGGCUGUAUCACAACCGGCUGUGAUUGGGAGUCCCAUAAGGGCGGCGUACAAUUGUCCCAGCGUCGUCCGGGUUUGGCCGGUGUAGACCGUCAUUGUAAAUAAGAAUUUGUUCUUAACUGACUUGCAUAGUUAAAUAAAGUAGGUGAUGUCAAAGGUCAGCAUGCGAGAGAAGUGGGAGGGACGAGUUUCCCCACUAGUAAUUACCAGUUGGAGGGGUCUUCAAUGGGAUUUUUCCCAGUUACAUGUGAGAAAUUCCCACUUCCCACUUGGUUACGAACACAUCAUUAUACUAAUCAUUCUCUAGCUCCUGUUUGGAAAGGUAAUAUGGAGUUGAAAUGAGAGAGAGAGUGAAAUAAUGCUGAAUCUAGUGGGAACUUGGGACCAUUGUCAUCUAUGAAAGUACGGGAGUUCAUCACGUGUUACCACCUUCAUCUAUGUGUAGCCUAUACAAAUUAGCAUAUAAUACAUUAUGCAAAUAUACUUAAGAUAUGGGAGUGGCAACAGUUGAUGUGAGACUCCUGGAACCAUAUGACAAUACUGACUCCAAUGGAUUCUCUCUCUAGAGCUGACAUGAUAGGCUUUUAGGCCUAUAUUACUAAUAGGGUUAGAGGCCUAUAUUACUAAUAGGCUUUUAGGCCUAUAUUACUAAUAGGGUUAGAGGCCUAUAUUACUAAUAGGGUUAGAGGCCUAUAUUACUAAUAGGGUUAGAGGCCUAUAUUACUAAUAGGGUUAUAUGCCUAUAUUACUAAUAGGGUUAUAUGCCUAUAUUACUAAUAGGGUUAUAUGCCUAUAUUACUAAUAGGGUUAGAGGCCUAUAUUACUAAUAGGGUUAGAGGCCUAUAUUACUAAUAGGGUUAGAGGCCUAUAUUACUAAUAGGGUUAUAUGCCUAUAUUACUAAUAGGGUUAUAUGCCUAUAUUACUAAUAGGGUUAAAGGCCUAUAUUACUAAUAGGGUUAAAGGCCUAUAUUACUAAUAGGGUUAAAGGCCUAUAUUACUAAUAGGCUUUUAGGCCUAUAUUACUAAUAGGGUUAAAGGCCUAUAUUACUAAUAGGGUUAAAGGCCUAUAUUACUAAUAGGGUUAUAUGCCUAUAUUACUAAUAGGGUUAUAUGCCUAUAUUACUAAUAGGGUUAAAGGCCUAUAUUACUAAUAGGGUUAUAUGCCUAUAUUACUAAUAGGGUUAUAUGCCUAUAUUACUAAUAGGGUUAAAGGCCUAUAUUACUAAUAGGGUUAAAGGCCUAUAUUACUAAUAGGGUUAAAGGCCUAUAUUACUAAUAGGGUUAAAGGCCUAUAUUACUAAUAGGGUUAUAUGCCUAUAUUACUAAUAGGGUUAAAGGCCUAUAUUCAGCCAGCUAUAUUACUUUUCCACUGGGGCUGCUUUAACAAAGACGUAAACAGCGCUUUUGUUGCAAAGUAUGAGAUAACCAUGGGACGAGUGCCUUGCUUGAACCAAAGCAAAGUGUAGACCUCUCUGUACUUACCUCAGCUUCUAGCUGGCCGUCGCGUUGUUGACUAGUGGACAAUGUAUUAGUCCGGCUCUGUGGUACUUUGCAAUGCAAUCACUAAGCAAACAACUAAGAGAAAUGAUACCAAAGGUUUUCCAAAUAUAUCUGUUUCCUCUUCCUCUUCUUAUUCUACCAAAUGGUUACAAAGCUUUACAUUUAAAAAAAAAAAAAAUGAAAAAAUGAAAAAGUUGUGGCAUGUCAACAGCGCAGAUCGUGCUCUCCUUAAUGUUUUCAGAUAUACCUCAGAGAUACUAGUGGUUAGGGUAAUGUUAUUCUAGCAUAUGUAAUAAAUUAUUAUUUUGGUAACUGUGUGACUUUACGAGACAAAAAAAAAACCAAAAAAAAUCUUGAUACAUUUUAAGUUGUGAUUUCUGUAAUAGUUGAAGAGGUGCGCUUACCAAAAACAAAUGCUUGUCUUUUUUGUGGUUUGGGUUUUUAAUUGUUUCUGGUUUUAUUUUUUUGUUGUUGUUGGAGGGGCUCCGGUUAUUCACUCAGCUUUCUGUAAUGAGGAUAAUUGCAGAUUAAGCCCACAGUUUACAUGUUACAAUGUAAAAAAAAAAAUAGGAAAAAAAAGAGAAAAACCCCCCCGUUCUUAUGACCUAGUUUCUGACCACCAUUUUGUAAAUGUUUCCUUCUUUGUCUUAUGACCUAGUUUCUGACCACCAUUUUGUAAAUGUUUCCUUCUUUGUCUUACGACCUAGUUUCUGACCACCAUUUUGUAAAUGUUUCCUUCUUUGUCUUACGACCUAGUUUCUGACCACCAUUUUGUAAAUGUUUCCUUCUUUGUCUUAUGUCCUAUUCUUCUGUGUUGAAGUGUAGCAUUAUGUUUAGCAACUGCCAAACAACAGUGCUAUAGCCCAGAUUUUAUGCAUGAGUAUAUUUACAAUUAGCUAGCAGUGUAAUGCAUUGUGACUUCAUUACUUUUUAAGUUCAGAAUCCCGUACCACUCUAUGGACUGCAUGUGGUUGCUGAGAGUGUGGCUCAGUUGUGUAUAUAUUGACCCUCCACUGUCAUAGUGUACCCUUUGGGUAAUAAGUGAAUUAGCUGAAGCGUCCAUAUUCUGAGUAGAAGGUUAUGAACACAAGGCUAACUGUUAAUAACAUACUGCACAAGGCUAACACAAGGCUAACUGUUAACAUACUGUCAAAGAGUGACAGAUGAGAUAUAAAUAGAAUGAGUCGAAAACCUGUUCUGAGACCCAUUUUGAGACAGUAGUCCACAACUUUGAUAAUAGCCUUCGUAUAGUAACUUACACAGCGCAGAAUUUGACAUCGAUGGACAAACCAUGUAGUAUUUUGACCAACAACAAUAGACCUGAAAACACAGUAGGAAAAAAAUACAUCUUUCAAAGAAUAUUACGGAAAAAAGACUCAACUUAAUGAUGUCACUGAAGGCACUGUGCCUGACAAUCUAUGCCUCUCUUUGACCUUCCACUUAGCUAACUGACAAAUAAAACCCUCUUAUUAGACAGCAGCACCCAAUCAGUGUCUGAUUAAAAUACCACAAAUGAGUUUAGGAUGAAGUGAUUGUACUGUUACUCUGGUCCUCACUGGGUUAAUAAUUUAAAAAAAUAAUAAUAAUAAUUAAACCACACAUAAAGAGAUCUACAGCAAGGCCACUAACCUACCUCAGGGGGUCGUAGGAGAAGGGUCAGACAGUCCGACGACCACAGGGGGUUAGAGUUCAGAGGUCAGUGUGAUGAUAACCAAAAUAACCUUGAUGAAUCAAAUCACUCGUUCAUUUAGUAGAACAUGAGAAUAUUGAACAAUAACUUUUAACUUUGAUCCAUCAAUCUCACUCUCCACAGUUGGAUUCUCUUAAUGUGUCUAUGCUUGAUACAUACAUGUACGUUGGCUCAGUAAGGGUCUUAUAUAAAGCCUUUUCACACCACUGAGCCGAACCGAACUGAGCCGAGCCAUACUGUACUGACCCGGUUUUGUUCAGGUCGGCAUGAUAGUGUGAAAAGGGGUACUUAGAGAGGAGUGUUUUCUAAACCAAAGGCAAGGUGUUGUUACAAUCUGACGACAAUGGCUAAAUUACACCUGGAAAGGAUGACCUCACAGGAGGUGGUUGAGAAGCCUGGUUCCAGGUCAGUUUGUGUGACAACCACCGUAGGAGUUAGAUAUACAGCACGGACAGAUCUGGGAUCAGGCUCGACUGUGUGGUAGUGGUUGAAUAUUCUAAGCAAAAGCUUCAUUCCAAAGAUGAAAACAAAGCCAAUAUGCUGUCUAUCCCAAAGUAUAAUUAUACAUUUACAAUUUUCUGUAGAUUUUGACUGAUUUGUUUCUGUGUCUGUUUUUUGUAUUUUUAUUUUUUGUAAAAGAAAAACAUGAUUAUUUUUUUUUUUUUUUUUUUUUCUUCUUUAUUUUCAUUAGUUGGAACACGAAUGAGAACUGGUAUUAAAAUUGUGAUGUUGUAUUGGAAUCGUAUGGAUAACCUAUUGAUAAGCAAUUCAAUUAUGAUCAAAAAUGAAGGAAAUAUUCAGAGUUAAUGUUGUUUCGCUUACCCUGUCUCUGUAAAGACAAAAUAAACCCUGUCUCUGUAAAGACAAAAUACAUUUGUCCUCAUGACUUGAAAACCAAAAAUGCAUUUUUCAGAUGAAAAUUAUUGUAUAAGUUUUUUUGUUUGUUCCAUGUCUCAAAUAGACUAUAAAUGUUGCAGUUCUGCAAUGUAUUUUUUUCUUAAAACAAGGAGGGAAAAUAAGACCAUUUAAAAAUAAUGCAUUAGUUUUCUUUCUUUCCUUUGAAUUGAAGUAUUUUGAACAAAGAGAUAGUAACAAUGUAUCGGGCCUGAAUCACUAGACUACCGUAGAACAAUUUAACUACUUUAAAACACACACAAUUCACGUUUACCUGUGUCAAUGAGACCCACAGUAUUUAUAAUAGUGAGUGGGUAGUGAGUGUCCCACUGCCUAAUAUUGCUAGAAGUGAUUUCUGUCGUGGGAAAUAAAGACUGAGAAGAGAUUUCAAAUCCAUGCACUUUGAAACAAGUAUGUCCUAAUGUAAAGCAACAACUAACGUGUAGCAUAAAUGUGCAUUGACGGGGUAAUAUUUUGUUAAAUACAUAAACUUUUAUUUUACCAGGUAAGACUGAGAUGAGUCGAUGUGAUGAAUACCAACAACAUCAUCAACAACAACAGCGAAAUAACACGUACAUACAAUAUGGCUAAAUUCAUUCAUAUGGAACCAGUCUGGAAGGUAACAGUACAGCGACCCUAACCCUAACCUAACCCUAACCUAACCCUAACCCUAACCUAACCCUAACCCAAACCCAAACCCAAACCUAACCCUAACCCUAACCUAACCCUAACCUAACCCUAACCCUAACCUAACC